rnacentral:rRNA from 1 species
GACGAACGCUGGCGGCGUGCCUAAUACAUGCAAGUUGAGCGCUGAAGGUUGGUACUUGUACCAACUGGAUGAGCAGCGAACGGGUGAGUAGCGCGUGGGGAAUCUGCCUUUGAGCGGGGGACAACAUUUGGAAACGAAUGCUAAUACCGCAUAAAAACUUUAAACACAAGUUUUAAGUUUGAAAGAUGCAAUUGCAUCACUCAAAGAUGAUCCCGCGUUGUAUUAGCUAGUUGGUGAGGUAAAGGCUCACCAAGGCGAUGAUACAUAGCCGACCUGAGAGGGUGAUCGGCCACAUUGGGACUGAGACACGGCCCAAACUCCUACGGGAGGCAGCAGUAGGGAAUCUUCGGCAAUGGACGAAAGUCUGACCGAGCAACGCCGCGUGAGUGAAGAAGGUUGUCGGAUCGUAAAACUCUGUUGGUAGAGAAGAACGUUGGUGAGAGUGGAAAGCUCAUCAAGUGACGGUAACUACCCAGAAAGGGACGGCUAACUACGUG